CCAGGGUCUCAGCGUCUUGAAUGGACCCCAACUCUUUCCCUGAUGCUUCCAUAAAGAUGAUAUAGAAGUUGAAUUCUUCUCUUUCCCUGUUCGCUAACUCGGAGACGCCGACUUCUUCACGGUUUUUUUUUUUUUAUAAUUCCGUAAUUCCGUCGUUGGAAUUAUCAAAUGAUCAACUGAACCCCAUUUUCUUCGCAGCUUGAGCUGCCAAGAUUCGUCUCUAAUCGGGAGAUCGAUGUCUGCAGCAUCUUUUUCUUGUCAAGGGAGUUACGAUGUUUUCUUGAAUUUUAGGGGAAAAGACACCCGCAACGGCUUCACCGCUCACCUUUAUGAAGCCCUGUGCAAUAAAGAAAUCCGGACUUUCAUGGAUGCCGACAAGAUUGUCAAAGGCGAGGAAAUAUCGGCAUCACUUGUUACAGCAAUGGACAAGUCCAUGUUUUGCAUUGUUGUUUUGUCCAAAAACUAUGCUUCUUCCACUUGGUGUUGGAUGAGCUUGUUCAGAUCCUCAAGUGCAAAAACGCCAAGAAACAAACAGUUUUGCCCAUCUUCUACAAUGUGAAUCCUUCUAAUGUACGAGAACAGAAAGGGAGUUUUGCAAAAGCCUUCGCUAAACUUGAAGAGAAGUUCAAGGAGGAGAUGGAGAGGGUGAAGAUGUGGAAGCAGGCUCUCACUGAAGUAGCUAAUAUAUCUGGUUGGGAUGCCAGGGACAGAUGGAUUGAUUAAUAAAUCUUCAAAAGACGGUGAGGCCAUGCAAGGGCAGGCAAAGGAGCGAAUUUCGGUGCUCAAUAUUCCUACUUCACCGAGUAUUGUGGAAAGGGGUGAAUUCCCACUUAGGAGCAAAAUGAAAAUCAAUCCAGUAAAAGAAAUAGAAAUCGGACAGUCAAGAGAUGCCAAGGCCAUGGAAGUAUAUUCCCACUUAGAGAUAACAGAACCUGAUGUUACCAUUUCGCCUACGAUUUGGGGAAAGAAGAGAAAGCGAUAGUAGCAGAUCACUCGAGGGCAAGUGAGCUUGAUAUUCCCACUUCAAUAAAACAACUUUAAUGUGUGC